AGAGUUUGAUCAUGGCUCAGGACGAACGCUGGCGGCGUGCCUAAUACAUGCAAGUCGAGCGAAUCUUUGGGAGUUUGCUCCCAUUGGUUAGCGGCGGACGGGUGAGUAACACGUGGGCAACCUGCCUGUAAGACUGGGAUAACUUCGGGAAACCGGAGCUAAUACCGGAUAAUCCUUUUCCUCACAUGAGGGAAAGCUGAAAGUCGGUUUCGGCUGACACUUACAGAUGGGCCCGCGGCGCAUUAGCUAGUUGGUGAGGUAACGGCUCACCAAGGCGACGAUGCGUAGCCGACCUGAGAGGGUGAUCGGCCACACUGGGACUGAGACACGGCCCAGACUCCUACGGGAGGCAGCAGUAGGGAAUCUUCCGCAAUGGACGAAAGUCUGACGGAGCAACGCCGCGUGAGCGAAGAAGGCCUUCGGGUCGUAAAGCUCUGUUGUUAGGGAAGAACAAGUAUCGGAGUAACUGCCGGUACCUUGACGGUACCUAACCAGAAAGCCACGGCUAACUACGUGCCAGCAGCCGCGGUAAUACGUAGGUGGCAAGCGUUGUCCGGAAUUAUUGGGCGUAAAGCGCGCGCAGGCGGUCCUUUAAGUCUGAUGUGAAAGCCCACGGCUCAACCGUGGAGGGUCAUUGGAAACUGGGGGACUUGAGUGCAGAAGAGGAAAGCGGAAUUCCACGUGUAGCGGUGAAAUGCGUAGAGAUGUGGAGGAACACCAGUGGCGAAGGCGGCUUUCUGGUCUGUAACUGACGCUGAGGCGCGAAAGCGUGGGGAGCAAACAGGAUUAGAUACCCCCGUAGUCC
rnacentral:rRNA from 1 species